UACGAAGGGGGCUAGCGUUGCUCGGAAUCACUGGGCGUAAAGCGCACGUAGGCGGAUCUUUAAGUCAGGGGUGAAAUCCCGGAGCUCAACCCGAUGACUGCCUUUGAUACUGGGGUAUCUCGAGUCCGGAAGAGGUGGUGGAAGUGAUCGAGUGUAGAGGUGAAAUUCGUAGAUAUUCGGAAGAACACCAGUGGCGAAGGCG
rnacentral:rRNA from 1 species